rnacentral:rRNA from 1 species
UACGUAGGGCGCAAGCGUUGUCCGGAAUUAUUGGGCGUAAAGAGCUCGUAGGCGGUUUGUCGCGUCUGCUGUGAAAACCUAAGGCCCAACCUUGGGCUUGCAGUGGGUACGGGCAGACUAGAGUGCGGUAGGGGUGACUGGAAUUCCUGGUGUAGCGGUGGAAUGCGCAGAUAUCAGGAGGAACACCGAUGGCGAAGGCAGGUCACUGGGCCGCAACUGACGCUGAGGAGCGAAAGCAUGGGGAGCGAACAGG